rnacentral:rRNA from 1 species
UACAGAGGGUGCGAGCGUUGUCCGGAAUCACUGGGCGUAAAGGGCGCGUAGGUGGCUCUAUAAGUCGGGGGUGAAAUGCUGCGGCUCAACCGCAGCGCUGCCUCCGAGACUGUAGGGCUCGAGCACGGUAGAGGCCGAUGGAAUUCCCGGUGUAGCGGUGGAAUGCGUAGAUAUCUGGAGGAACACCGGUGGCGAAGGCGGCAUUCUGGACCAUAACUGACACUGAGAGACGAAAGCCAGGGGAGCAAACGGG